CAAAGACAGGGAGCUGAGGCCCCAGGAAGGUGGCACAGUGGCUCCGCGUGAGCCCAGGCUCUGCCCUCUGCCUUAGCCGUGCUGCGACAGAGUAGAUGCAUCUCUCCUGGGACCCUGGCACCAGGUCCCCUGUUCCCCUCCCUGUGCACACUGGCUAACGGGCAGGGUCUCGGCUGGAGGCUCCACACGGUCCCCCCCACGGGCAGCAGGCUCCCAGCUCAGCACGCAGCAGGGCCCGCCCUGCUCACCCCACUGCCCCUGGGCCUGCCUCCCCAGCUCGAUGAGCCGAUUAGCUGGCUGGCCGGAGGACAAGCUGUCUUCCAGUCAUGCACCUGGGAUCGAGGCCCUGGCUGCUGGAGCAGGGGCCAGCUCAGCGGGAGCUGGGGGACUCACCCCAGGGGAUUAAUGACACGGAGCCCUUCCUCACCCUGCCGGGAGGAAGCCACCAGCCGCCCCUCCCCUCUGCUGGGUGGGGAGCCACCAAGGGGUCCCUUCUGCAGGGGCACACCUAGUUCCGGUCACUAUUGUGGACAGCAAGAAUAUGGCAACCUAUUCACCCACAAAGCCCCAAGAAGUCGACAUCAGUAACCAAGUUGCCAAGAGCAAGGACGCAGCAGAAGUGGGGCUGGGGGCGCAGGGGACCCGUGGUCCACCCACCACCCUCCGACCUCCAGACCAGAGAGUCCCCAUAGGGAGACCACAGGUCCCGUGAAGAGGUGGACAAGGACGCUGUGGGGCACUCCAUUCCAGGGACGGUCGGGUUGCCACUAGCCUGCCCCCGGACCCUGACGGACCCUCAUCAAGAAUGUUCUGGAGCUGCAGACAAUGGGAAGUGUGGCGGAGAAGAGGGCUCAUUCAAUGAGUGACGUGAGGGAGGUCCGUCGACACUUACCUCACCAGAUUAAAUUACCCGAGACGUCAGGAGGAAGGGGCACAGGGACAGGACCACGCUGACGGCGCAGACGCACACCGUGUCCAACUCCCGCAUGUCCCUCUAGGUGCAGAAGAAAGGCGAGGAGCAGAUCACAGGGUCAUUGGGGAGAGAUUAUUGACAUUUUUCUCGGCCUCUUGUCCGUUGUCGUCUUAUGUUUUCUGGACUUUCUCAAAUGAAUCACGUUUUUGGACUGAAGCAGAAAUGGCAUAGAAAUGCAUCACACACAGGACACAUGAUCUGAAGGUACCCCUGUGGCAGGACGUCCUGCGGAUAGGCCCCUGAUGCAGGCACACGCAGCGCUGUGGCUAAUAGAUACCUUUACUUUGCACAGAUGUCAUGAGAGACUGAGGAAGGCCCCAGAGACGCUGGUGGCACCUGGCUCUCACCUGCCUCAAGUUCACCUUGUAAACUUGGGCAAACUCCUCACGAGGCCUGGGUCAGACCUGGCCAGACACCUCUUGGGCUACCGUUCCCUCCAUCUCUGUGUCCACAAGGGACUGUCAAAGGCAGGGUGUUUGCAUGGGCCCAGAUCCUGAGCUGGCAGUGUCAGCUGGGGAUACAGUGACAACCUCUGCAAGCCCCCAGGAGAGUUGCAUAGUUUAGUGGCUAAUCCUGGGAGGAAAGAGUGACCAGGAGCUGGGGGUAAAGGGAAGACUCCAGCCAGGGCUACAGAGGUCGGCUGGUGUCCCAAGGUCAGUGCAGCUCAGACAUAGCCCUGUGCUUGUGGUCAGGAGGCUCAGAAACAGUGCAAAGAGCAACGAUUUGGAGAGAACUGACAAGGAAGGGAAGGUGCGGAUGGGUGGGUUGCGCUGCGUCCACGAGGAGCCCUGCCCCGCAGGCCAGCCUCCUGGGGCCUGGAGUCUCCUGAUCCUGAUGCUUGAGGGCACGUCCUGCCUCCCCAGGGUCUAGGCUGGCUGUAAAUAUGCUCCCGUGUGGUCAGGGGCACAGGCGAGGCUGAUGCAGGGCCCUGGACCCUGGGCUCUCCUCCUCCUCUCAGCAGGGCCGUGGAGCCUUCCGUUCCUGUGGCUUCCUCCUCUGAAAACGUUCCCCUACUCCGCUGGGCCAGCCUGAGACAGACCUGUGUCCCGCCCUCCCUCCUCCACCCCUCCCAGGCUGUGCUCGCUGAACCAUCGCCCCCACGGGGCGGGCAGCCUCUGCGCUGGGCGCUGCUUCCUCCCGGCUUUAGGAACUAGGCCGGCACCGAGGAGUCCUGUGCUGCAUUUUCCUGAAUGCACACCAGAGCUCUGGGAGCAAGAAAACCGACCCUCCCAACCAACGUGGCCCUCAACCCCCUUGGGUGGGCCUCGGGGCCAGCCAGGUCCUGGGAGGUGCCUGCCCCUUGCCCCAGGAAUCCCCUCCUCCCUUCCCUGCCCUCCCUCCUGGUGCUUCCCGCCCCUGCAGGAGACCAGGUCUUCUUCUCUCUCCUUUCUGUCCACAGAUGACCCCUUACACCACCUCCCUGCUCCCCCUUGGCCCACUGUGGCAUUCAGCUGGGCUCACCCACAGUGCCCGCUACCCCGACUGGGCAGAGGAGUCUGUUGCCCUCCCACUGCAUUGGCCCUCAGUCCCCAGAUCGUGUCCCUCUGUCAAGCCAAGCCACUCAGCCAGGUGGGCCCUCCCUCUUUACCUCUGAUGGUCAUUGUCGAUAACGCACUAUUAAAAGUUGGAAAUAUAUUUUCCUCCUGCCAA